ensembl:lncRNA
AUAACGGCCCCGGCGCGUGCAAGGGAGAAGCGGGUUUGUUUUUGAAUCUGCGGAGGCGGCGGCGGCGGCGGCGGCGGCGCGGCGCGGCGCGGCGCGGAGACUGAAGCGCGCGAGACUGAGGCGGCAGCGGAGGGGACGGCUGCGCCGGGCGACUCUGUAGGAAGGAACUUGGUUCCCCCUCCCUCAUCUCCCGCCCCAAAAGUAUGAACAGCUCACUGUGUUUCAAAAAUUUCAUGCAAUGCCAGCCAUCUACUUGGUUUGAUAUUCUUCAUUGCUGGAGAGAAAAUUUUACACAAACAUUUGGAUGUCUCAUCUUUCAAAAAAGAGAAGAUUGGAUGCUAUGGUAUGUAUUUUUGCUUGAACAAAAAUCUACAGUUGAGAAGCUACAGUCUCCUUCAGAUAGGGUCUUUAUAUCUGGUCCUCUUCAUUGCUUCAUGUUAUCUUCUGGGCCCCAGUAAACUGUUCCUUUUAAAUUCCUAUCUUACUUGAUGGAUUGUUGGCAGCCUUUAAUAUCUAAAAUAAAGCUUCUAAUCUAGCAUACUUCAUUUGGUAGGAAAGAAAGCAUAUGUAAAAUCAGUUUACUCUUUAAAGGUAUGACACUUUUGCUAACCUUUUUCUUGUACUGAUUUUUGUAGUAGACUAAUAGGUGGCUGAUUGAAGGAGAUCCAGUGACAUCAGCAAAAAGUGACAGUUGGUUGAAAGUGAAGCAAUUAAAAAAUACUAAUUAGAAACAUCUAAGUUCUGUGAGGUCUUCUAAUGUGAUAAUAAAUUCUCUUUUCUUUAAAUGUUGUCACUGUAUUAAAGACAUCUUUAUUAACUUGAUAUUCUUAAUGAUGAUAUUGAAUAAAAAAUGUUAAAUUAUAUUCAAGAUAAGCAAUUUACUGAACAGGUAAAUGAAAUAAACUGUAAAAUAUUUUCCCCUAAAUUGAAAAAGUUUUAGCACUUAAAACGAAUAAGUUUUUAAUAAAAAGUUUUCUUAACACUAGAUAAAAAGUUUUCCUAACACUAGAUGAUUUCAGAGGCCGUUAUAGACUUAUUUUUGUUAAAAUUUUGCUUCUUUACAUAACAUUCACCAUCUUAACUAUGUGAAGACUACCUUGAUGAUCCAUGAAACAUGGCAGUUGAUAAUUGUGAUCUGAUGUGAAUCUUAAUUAAAAGCCAACUUCUUAGCAUUUAUGUGAUAACAUGACAUUGGUAACUCCAGGGAAAUGAGAAAGGAAUUUUACUUAUUUUUGGAAAAUGGCUUUCAAGUUAGAGAGAAAACUUCAGUGAAAAAUUGAAAAAGCAAUUAACUUGUACAGGAAACAUUAACUCUCCUAUUUUUCCAUUUUUUUCACUCCCAAAAGAGAAAGUGAUUUGGGAGAAAGCUUAAAGUUUAUUCAAAUAACGGAUUUUUAAUUAAUUGCUUGGCUUAGAACUUUCACAAAGUUUUCUCUAUUAGUAAUUUGUAACAGUCAGUCUAUUAGUGGUCAUUAAAGUUUGAAUAUGGAAAUGAUGAAAAUAGUGCUUACUGACUCAAUGAAACUUUGAGUUUAAUGAAAGAGGGUGUUUAACACCAGGUAAGUCUGAGGAGUUACCUCUGCAUCUGCCUGUGGACUUCUGUCUUCCCUGCUGAAGCAAACCAGAUACUGCUGACCAGUAGUGCCAUCUGACCUGGUGCUUUCAUUUGCCAACAUACAAGUAUCAUGAUGUGCAAAGUGGCAAGUAUUAGUAUAGAUGUCUGGAAGCAAUUAUUUUUGUUUUGCCGCUGCUAGUAAGUAGUUGUAUAGUUUAGAUAAGUUAUUUAAGCUCUUAAUGCCAUUCUGUGACCACUGAAUGAAGGAAGUGGUUGGACUAGGUAAGGAGUUACACAAGACUAUGAACUUUGGAAUCAAACCAAGUCAAGGUGAAUUCAUGUUCCUCCACUCCCCAGUUAGAGAGGUUUAUAUGAAAAGUAUAUAAUAAUGCUUAAAGUAUAGUGCACUAUUACAGUAUUCAGUAGGUCUUUUGCAUUAUGUAUUACAGGAGAGGCUGUUGCUUAUUUUCAGAACUUCGGUCUUUCUUUCUUUCUUUCUUUCUUUUUUGUGUGUUUUCUAGGGCCACACCCACGGCAUAUGGAGGUUCCCAGGCUAGGGGUCAAUUCAGAGCUGUAGCCUCUGGCCUACACCAUAGCCAUAGCAACGCAGGAUCCGAGCCUCAUCUGGGACCUACACCAUAGCUCACAGCAAUGCCAGAUCCUUAACCCACUUAGCAAGGCCAGGGAUCGAACCUGCAACUUCAUGGUUCCUAGUCGGAUUCGUUAACCACUGAGCUACAAUGGGAACUCUGCAGUUUUCUUAUUUUUAAAAUGGAAUACUACUCAGCCAUAAAAAGAAUGAAAUAAUGCCAUUUGCAACAACAUGGCUGCAACUACAGAUUAUCAUACAAAAUGAAGUAAGUCAGAAAGAGAAAGACACAUGCCAUAUGAUAUCACUUGUAUGUGGAAUCUAAAAUAUGGACACAAAUGAGCCUAUCUAUGAAAUAGAAACAGAUUCAUGGGACUUGCCAUGUGGCUUGCAGCAUACCUACUCUGAGUUGCUUCUGCAGUGGCUGUGGCUUGACCCCAGGCUCAAGAACAUCCAUGUGCCAUAGGUUUAGCCACUUAAAAAAAAAAAAAGAAAGAAACAAAUUCAUGAAAUAGAGAUUUGUUGUUGCCAGUGGGGAGGGCUUUGGGGGAAGGAUGGAGUGGGGUUAGCAGAUAUAAGCUAUAAUAUAUAGGAUGGAUAAAACAGGGUUCCACCAUACAGCCCAGGGAAAUAUAUUCAAUAUCCUAUGAUAAACCUGAUGGGAAAGAAUAUGUUAAAAAGGAAUAUCUGUUUAUAUGUAUAACUGCAUCACUUUGCUGUACAGAAAUUAGCACAAUACUGUAAAUCAGCUAUAUUUCAGUUUUUUUUUUUUUUUUUUUUUAAUGGGGAUAAAGUACCAUGCGGAAUUUAUUUUGGAAUUUAAAUGAGCAUAACAAAUACAAAGUACUUAGUGCAGUGUAUGAUAGAAAUUAAGUAUGAAUAAAUUUUGGUUGCUUUUUCCUCACAAGGUUCUCUCCAGCACAGACUUUUUCUUUCUAUUUCUUUUUUCAAUUAUUAUGAAAUUGGAGAGAAAUCUGGAAUACUGGAUACUUUAGAAAGGGAUCUUUAGGAAGAGGAAAUUUUUCGGGUCCUGGCUAAGUUAACAGUAAAAAUGUUUAAAUCUCAAGUUAAAGACUUUAAAGAACCCAAAGGGGGACAAAACAAAGAUUCUUAUUUGUGCUUGGGCAGCAUGGUAGAGUGAAAACAAAAAUGGACUGUAAAUUGAUCAACUGUUUCAACAAAUUUAACGAAUAUUUAUUAUGCACCUGUUAUUUGCCAGGCACUAUUUUGAUAGCUGGUGUACAAGAUCCCUUGCCUGCAAGGAAUUUACAUGGGACAGGGGAAACAGGAAGAUAGAAGUUAAUAGAGAAAGUUAAAAUAUUGAGGGACUGAGACUGCUGGUGGUAGGAUGGAAUAAGUGGUGACUAGCUAGGUGAGUUCUACUCAAAAUGUGUUCUGUGGAUCAAUUCAAGGUCACGUCUCAUAAGUUCAUCUGUUCCUGUUCCUCCAUUAGGUAACUAAAAUUAAGUGUCUACAAAUUUUUAUCAUUUUGAUAAAAUAAUUUUAUAUCAGAUCAAGUAAUAAAAAUAUUUUUAUUUUAUAUGCCUCCCCCCCAAAUAAUUCAUUUUCAUUGAGUAUUUUAUAAGAGCAUUGGUCUGUAAUGGAAAUAAAACAUUGGUUUCUUUACCAUCCUGAGUUUGAGAAGCACUCAGCUAGAUUGAUAACUUCCAUUGUUAGCAGGUUAUAGAGAAUUUGAGCUUUUUAUGAUUAUUUCAUUGUCAGGUGAUUUUUUAACUUAUUUGUCUUUAAAAAAUAGUAUCUAAAUACUUGUUAUUAACAGUAUAUUUUAUACUAGACUAAAAGAUUUUAGGUCCUUUGAUUUAAAGUACUUUCAUUUGAAAAGUUGGAUAUAUAAAGUAGAAAGAGAAGGAGGAAGCAAAAUUAAAACUGGAAGGAAUGAAUACUUAGAUGAUUUCCAACUCUGAGAUUUUAUGAUCAAUAGCCCUUUUGAUAUAAAACUUUUCCUCCCAACAAGUAUUACUUACACAAUGAAUCUAUAUGAAGUUAUACCAUCUUAUUAUAUUUUUGUCCCUGUCCCUUCAUCUGCUGCUGGUGGAACACAGAUCCUAAAAAGAGAAUAUGGUUGUUUGAGGAGAUCUGCUAUUGCUUAUCAAAGAUAACUUGGGUAAAAUUUAGGAUUAUCCACAUAAUAGAAGUCUACCAAUUCCUAUUGCUCUAUAACUUUAUUAUUCCUUUGAUUUAGUGUCCUAUCAUCUGUAUUGUGUAAUAGGGAUAAUUUAAGACCCAUGUUUUAAGACAGCUGAAAAUGAGAUUAAAAAAUAAGGAAUAUACUUUUGGAUAAGCCCCAGUUAGCAUAUGAAAGACAUCUUUCCAUUUUAUUACCAUUUUAGAUGGCACUAAAAUAGUUUCUCAAUUAUUAUUUGAAAAUGAAAUUUAAUAUAUUUAUACUCAAUAAAAUAAGUGAAAAAAUAGAAGUGAAGAUAUAGAAUUACUUAUUAGUAAUCAUAAAGUGACUAUUAAAAAAACUUAAGCAAAGGACUUUGUAGAUAAUGUCUCAAUUAUUGCUCAGUCAGAUCUGACCAAUUUAAAAAAAAUACAUGAAUGAUUUAGGUUCAAAAAGAAUAUGCCACACAAAAGAUGUUCCUGUGUAGAUAUUUUUAAUAUGUCAGGCCUCAGUUUUGAUAUUGAGCACAUGCUUCAGUAGUAUUAACUAGUGGUAAGUAAAUAUAUUGAAUUAUAUAACCAUCAUAAUAGUGAUACUGAAGAUGUAUUGUCUUAUUAUUUGGUGAAACAUAAAGCAGUACUAUAUUAAGAGCACAUCUAUUUAAUGAUCAUUUACUAUUUAAGUGACUAGUUAACAAAAUUUGAAAGGCAGCUGUAGAGUAGAAUGGGGACAGCUUUUAGCUAAUGAGAAUUAUAAUUUAUAUUUUUAAUGAUUGUUAAAAAUAGCCAUCAUUGUAUUUAUAUAUAAUCAUAUUGGUCAAUGCUGCAAAUAAACUAAGGCUUUUGAAUAUCUCUGGGGGUUACAAAUAUUUUUGGUGUGGUGGGGGUAGAAUUUCAGUUAUAUAAGAACUCUUAAGUCAAUUUUUUCUUACUACCUGGAUUUUAAUCAUAUUAGUAAAUAGAUAACUAUAGAUAUAUUCUAGAACCAGUCAGUGCCUGUUGGGGAACAAAUGAGGGAGGGUUUACUCAGCAGUGUUCUUUAGUUUGGUCAUGAAAUGAGGACUGCUUUAUGUAAAUUGUUCUUACUGGCGCCAGCUAGCUGUAACUGCAGUCUGGCUGUGCUAGGGCAGCAAAUAAUAUGUGUCAUGGAUUUUCUGUUUGGAAUGUGUAAGAAUGCAGCCUUUUGGACUGAAAGAACGGAGUUGAUGCAUUAGAAUAGGAGUACUGAGACCUCCACAAUUGACAAUGAAUAUGUGUAAUUAUGAGAAGCUAUAAGCUUUUCAAGUAUCUAUUCUGCUUUUAUAGAUUUAUGCCUAGUGAUACUAUUGGGUAAUAUGUGGGAGGCACUUAACUGCACACAGUUGCUGCAGACCUAUUAGUUGGCAGCAUAGAAAGCAGUACAAAAGACUUCUGAUUCUAGGCUUCUUCACUUGCAUCAGUCCUUUGGAAGGUAUACGUUGAGUGUUCUGUGAGCUUCAUUGACAUGCUGUCUGAUGUUUUCUGGCUUUUGUGGUUGAUGGGAUGUUUGCUGCACAAACUACACAACAGAUGUGAACCACUGAAAGGAAUUUUAAUAUGUAGCCAAUCUACUGUAUUCCUAUUUUUUUUUAAUGAAUAUGAACCAAACAAGAAAUUUAGGCUCAAAAAGGCUGAUCUAGAAAUCUGUAUUAGCCUUUAAUGUUUAUACUAAUGAACUGAGUAGCAGUGGUUAACAGAAGAGGAAGUCUUUCACAGUAUCAAGCUGCCCACAGGUAAGAGAUUCAGGUCCUUUUUUUUGUAAUAACCCUUCCCCCUUCCCAAACCUCUCAGGCCUUAUAUCUGUCUCUCACCUAUGGGAAGUUUUUUUUGUUUGUUUGUUUUUAGUUUUGGUAAUACCAGGAUUGGUAGAUUGUUUAAUGUUAAUUUUCAGGAGAUUCUGAAUGUCAUUUGGAUUUGUUUUUUUUAAAUAUUAUUUUUAUCUUUAAUUUUCCUCGGGUUUGAAUUGAAAUGAACUAACAGUGGGCUUCAUAUAUGGAUAUUACUCAUGCAUACCAGUAUGUUCAUAUUACACAGAAAUCAGUUUUAGAUCUCUGUUCAUUAUAGUCCUGUUACUGCGUUCUCAGUUGUAGUGACACCAACUGGUACGUACAGAAUAAUGAUGUUUUGUAACCUUACUAACCUUACUAAACUAUAAAGUUUUAGUGUAAAUGUACUUCUUUUACUUCAUCACCAAGCUCAGAAUGCUUGUAUUUUCACAAGUGGCUCACUGACAUACAGUAGAUAAUGUUAUGUAUAUAACAUGGUCAUGUUUUCUAGUACCACCCUGAAUAUUUCCAUUUCCACAUAUUUAAAUUUAUCACCAUUUAAAAAGUGAAUUUAAGAAUAUGAAACUAAAAUGAAUGUAUGAAUUAGAAAUUCCAUUGAUUUAAUAUUUUAUUUCUCCAGUUAGGUGAAAGGUAUGCAGGCAUUUGUUAUAUUAUUCUUUUUUUGUAUGCCUGAAAAGUUGCGUACAAAACAUCUCAUUGUAAUAAAGAACUAUAUAAAAUAAAGAUAUAUAUAAUCAUUACUAUAAAAGAUAUGAAUGUUUAAAAGAAAUUGGUAUAGCUGGUGAUAAAAUAUAUUACUGACUGAUACAGUAAUUUGGGGGGGAUUAGUACAGGGAGGUAAGUUGGUGAAGGAAAGAGGGGUAGUGAAGCUAGCUUAGAGAAAGGAAGGAGGAAAUGGUUAGAAUAGGCAGUCUCUGCCUUUGUCUCCUUGGGAGUUAAAUAGGUUCUUUCUGCAACCUAGAAGUGUUAGUUUUAGGUGGGACUUAAGUUCUCUAGAUUCUGAAAGUUGGUUGGCCAUUUAUUAUUACUGCGUGGUUAAGUACUUAAAAACAGAGGCCAGCUGUAAUGGAAGGUACAUUCAUGUUUCAGGGGCACAAACUUUCUCCUGUUGCUUUUUAACAGUGUCGCUUGGGAUUUUUAAAAUGGUUGUUUUAAUGUAUGUUCUUUUGAAGUAUAAAAAUAUAUGUUUGUGGAUGUGUAUCCUCUAAGUAAACAGUUUCACUGGAGUUAGAGAAAUGGCGAUAGUAAAUAUAUCAAUUUUGAUUGAUGUGCUUGUUAUUGGAUGGGGAGAAGCUCAGUCUUCUAGUGUGGAGAACACACGUAUCUAAGAUUUUGGAAAUGUUUUCAGACUUCUUUUGAGCCAUUGUUUGGAAGAAGAUUGGGCUAGGAUAACAGUUGAUAUAGACUGACUAGUUCAUCUGUACAGUUAAAAAGGAAUGGGGUUGGUUAGACUGAAAAACAGGAAUUUAUUGAAUGAUAUUAAGAGUUAGGGGUCAUAGCAAAAAAUGAUAUUGGAAAGUAGUACAGAGAAGUAUUCUGUUUAUAGACAAGUAAACCUAAAAGGAAGCAUGUAAGACAAAAAUAAAAGCCAUGAGCAUUAAGAUGUGUAGUCUUUGAAACUAUUGAGAUUGAGUGUGCACCAUUCAAAAAUCUGGGAGGAGUUCCCGUCGUGGCUCAGCUGGUUGCAAACCUGGUAGUAUCCAUGAGAUGUGGGUUCAAUCCCUGGCCUUGCUCAGUGGGUUAAGGAUCCGAUGUUGCCAUGAGCUGUAGUAUAGGUCACAGGCUCGUCUUGGAUCCCACAUUGCUGAGGCUGUGGCUGUGGCCGGCAGCUACAGCUCCAAUUUGACCCCUAGCCUGUGCAGUUCCAUGUGUCAGAAGUGUGGCUCUAAAAAGCAAAAAAAAAAAAAAA